GGGUGCUUAGCUCAGCGGUAGAGCGCCUCGCUUACACCGAGGAUGUCGGGGGUUCGAAACCCUCAGCGCCCACCA
rnacentral:tRNA from 3 species